rnacentral:rRNA from 1 species
UGCAAGUCGAGCGAAUCAAAGGGAGCUUGCUCCCUGAGAUUAGCGGCGGACGGGUGAGUAACACGUGGGCAACCUGCCUAUAAGACUGGGAUAACUUCGGGAAACCGGAGCUAAUACCGGAUAAUUCUUUUCUACACAUGUAGGAAAGCUGAAAGACGGUUUACGCUGUCACUUAUAGAUGGGCCCGCGGCGCAUUAGCUAGUUGGUGAGGUAACGGCUCACCAAGGCGACGAUGCGUAGCCGACCUGAGAGGGUGAUCGGCCACACUGGGACUGAGACACGGCCCAGACUCCUACGGGAGGCAGCAGUAGGGAAUCUUCCGCAAUGGACGAAAGUCUGACGGAGCAACGCCGCGUGAGUGAUGAAGGUGUUCGGAUCGUAAAACUCUGUUGUUAGGGAAGAACAAGUACCAGAGUAACUGCUGGUACCUUGACGGUACCUAACCAGAAAGCCACGGCUAACUACGUGCCAGCAGCCGCGGUAAUACGUAGGUGGCAAGCGUUGUCCGGAAUUAUUGGGCGUAAAGCGCGCGCAGGCGGUCCUUUAAGUCUGAUGUGAAAGCCCACGGCUCAACCGUGGAGGGUCAUUGGAAACUGGGGGACUUGAGUACAGAAGAGAAGAGUGGAAUUCCACGUGUAGCGGUGAAAUGCGUAGAGAUGUGGAGGAACACCAGUGGCGAA